GCCCUGCCCCAGGAGCGCUCCAGCAGCAGGAUCCACACCUCCAGGAUCACCACUGGGCCCCCAUCAUGGAGCUGUGGAGUGGGGGAUACUGUGGGUUAUUUGUUUUUUUCCAUUAUUUCAUUCCACGGGGAUUUUUUUUUUAAAUUUCAAAGAGGCUUUGAUUUACAGGUCCGAUGUUCUGAGAAUUUCUUGCAUUCUGGACUCCAGCAGGAUACCUGCAGGAGGGGAGAGGGGUGAGACAGGAGCACACCAAGGGCUUGCACAUCACCCACAGCAGGUCAUGCACCUCUACCACUCCUGGUGCCACAGGGCAUGGACCAUUCUCAAAAGGAAUACCUUCCUCUCUUUUCCUGCUUUUCCAUGUGUCAGAGACUGGAAAGAUUGAUGCCUGGAGAGGUUUUGGGGUGCAGGGGCAGGUGGCUCCUUGUGCAGUGCCCUGCCCUCACACCCCACCCCUCUGGAGCCUGCAUCCCAGCCCUGCAGCAGUGCCAGUGAUGGGCACACAGGAGGCAACGCUCCACACCCACCCUGGAGCCCCUGAGCAGCUCCUGAGUGCCAAAGUACAGCAGCCCCACCUGGGAGAAGGGCUCAGGAAGGCCAAGGGGUAUUCAAGGCUGAACACGAGGCCAUCAUGUUUAUCCAGAUCCUCCCUCUCCUCUGUCAUCGCUGGAACCCAGGAGCUGGUAGCUAUAUGUGUGCUUUCCCAUAUAUUUUCUGUCUCUCUUUCUCCUUCUUCUUCUAAUUCCCUCUUCUUGGAAUAUUUUGAGCAACUUAACAUCAAACAGGCUUAAAAUUUGCUAAGUUGAAUGGGCCAAGUUAAUGCUGUGAGAAGUGUUUUAUGUUGAUUGAAUGUUGUACCAAACCUUUUGCCAAACUCUUGAUUUUCUGAUUUUUGUCAGUAAAGUCCUUUGUGUUGUUUUGAGAAAUA